AGUCUGUCAAACUGACUGGAAAAAUUCCUUGCAGUAUUGUCAUGGCUAUUUCUCAUCCCUUAACUGUUUUUUUGCAUGACAAGGUGCUUUUCUUACAGGACAAGUUACUAAUUUCGAAAUGGCUGACAUGCCUGUGUUAUUAAGUAAUGCCACAUUUCUCAAUCAAAACCAGCCCCUAUUAAGCAACUCCAAAUAGCCCAAAAGCAUUCUCCAAGGAAGACCAAAUAGAUUCAGAUUGCAAAAUAGUUUCUCAAAAAUUUAAAGAAGUGAAAAGUUUGAUUAGAAUUUAUGCCAAACUCAGAGUUUGUUUUUAUUAUUAAAAAUAUGUCAUA
rnacentral:lncRNA from 1 species